CCACAUUCAGGCUGCAGUGAUUGUGCCCUAAAGAGUUCAAGACAUGAUUGGAGGAAGCCCUGUUCUAUGUUUUUGCUAUUAAAUUCUGAAUGGUACAAGAGAACUCUGCAUUUGUCUUCUGCCCACAACUUCGUUGAAGAAGUGGAGAGGCCAAGCAACUCCAAGGCUGUUUGGAAGGAGAGCUGGGCUCUGCCUCCUGGGAGAGUUGGAGGACAUUUCUUCUCUGUGGAGUGUGAAGGGAGGACUGCCCUAUUCCUUGUCUGCUAGUGCUUGCCCCUGGGAGCCAGUGCAUCUUAUCCCUUUUAAUUCUCGCUGGCUCCCAGGGGCACGUAUUACCAUCCCAUUUUACGGGUGAGGAGACUGAGUUUCAGAGAGUUGUUCCUGUAUAGCUGUAAAUAUGGGAGGCCGAAUAGGAUGGGUUACAUCACCUGCAACUAGUUUUAUGGCCAACAGGAAUUCAUUUUCCUGGUUCUUGCAAAGCGGUGGAUAAGGCUGGGAAUUAGGAUGCCCUCCUUCUACUCUAGUCAUGCCAGUUUGGCCUCUGCUCUAUAAACAGCCCUUGUUCUUUUCUGUCUCCUAGAUUCUCUCACAUAGCUUCCCCAACUUGGAAUGCCACUCUCCCUCCCACCAGUUCAACUCCUGCAUACCUGAAAGGCCCAGCUAACCUCUUCCCACAGGAACCUUCCCUGCCCACUCUAGCUCUUGGCCAUCUCUCCCUACUCUAACUCUAACAAUUGCAUUCUGUGCCAUAAAAUCAAACUCUUCAUGACAGUACUGCCUUUUAUGAUUUGCUCAUUGUUUCCAUUUCAUUCGUCUCAUUCCAUCAGCCAGACUGAUCCGUGUAAGGGCAGGGACCGAGCACGGACACUUCCCCUAGAUGCCCCACUGUUUCCAGCUGAGUGCUGCCAUAAAGUUGCACUCGGUGACUCCUAUUUGGCUAACAUUCUAAACAUGAGCCAAGGGUCUUUGCUACAAGACAGUGAGGGGUGGUACUAUUGGGCUUUCAACCAUUAAUGAGCUAGCAGCAACUUCCCCUCACUUGGUGGCCAGCCUGCCUGGUUCCUCCAGACUGUCAAGAAGGAUUGCACCUGAGUUAGCUGAGAAAGAGAGACAGAGCUUAAUUGUAUGCUCCGUUCACACUAAGGCACCCAAGGACUACUUAGACCAGAAGCGUGGGCAGGUGUAACCACGUGGGGCUGGGGCUCCGGGGGCUCUGUGCAGCCUCCUUCCCUCCCAGGUAUGUGACGAUUGAGGAUAAGUAAGUGAAAUGCAAACAGUUAUAUACAUAACAAACAAUCUGGUCUAAAGUUGAAAACCACAAGGUGAAUUAUUGGAGUAUUUCUUUCUGGGGCCCAGCCUGGAAGGAGAAGAGACGGAAGGUGUCCACCUGCGCCAGCCGUGGUGUUUGGGUGAGGCACAGGUUGAAAGCAAUUACAGGGCUCUUGGGAAACAGCCUCGGCCCUGGAACUGUGGCAAGAACUUGGACUCGGUGGCCUGGUUUCAAAUUAUUGGAGUACUCUUUUUGGAAUAUUUCUGUGCUUUCUGUUGAAAGUUUGAGGCUGUUCAAUGACAUUAUCUAAGGCCAAGCCCUUUUUCCUGUUACCUUCUCAGCAUACAUGAGUGGUCAUUUCUUACCUCUAUAGCUUAUAAUGUGUUUUCACAUCUGUCAUCCCAUUUACUUCUUGCAAGACUUUGGAAGGGAAUAACAGUAACAAUAACAAUGUUAAUAAAAAUGUUGAUAUUUAUUAAAUACUUACAUGUUCUAGGCAUCAAGGGCACUAAGGGCUUUAUGUGUAUUAAUUGGUUUGUUCCUCACCGUUUCACAGAUGCAGAAACUGAGGCACUGAGAAGAAUGAUUUCAGACCAUACAGUCUUCCAAGUGGCAAAGCCUGGGCUUGAACCAGGUCUCCUGACCUACAACUUGGCAGAGAGAGGGACAACCACCAUGUCCCCUUGUCCGUGGCUGCAUCCAGUGCCGAUUUAACUCAGCACUUCCGGGAAGCCCCUUUCUCACCCUGGCCCCAGGCUCGUUCCUGGGGAAGAUUCAGUGAUUGGGUUGGUAUCCUGAACUCAAGGGAGGGAGACAGGAGAACUGGGCUUAGCUUGGUCAUUCCCUUAACCUCUCCAAGCCAAAAUUUUGUUAUCUGCAAAUUAGGAAUGAUGGUUCUAAAAUAUCUGAUAGGCCUGUUGGAAGCAUCUCAUGAGACAGCGUAAAUAUAAAGCACUUGUAAUCAAAUUCCCCUCCUCUUCCCUUUCCCUGCUGUUCCAGGGAGCGUUGCAUGUAUAGACACAGGGUUUAUUGUUGAAUUGACAUAUUUAUUUGCUGGGCCACAUUACUGAAUAUAAUAAGGCAAGACCCACUGAAAGGAACUCUGACUUCUGGUAUCCCCUGGGAAGGAGGCCUGUCUUCAGUAUGGAAGUAAGAUCUCAGAAAGUAGGUCGUGGGUGAGAGAGAGACAUCUGGCUCCUUGGCCUCUUUCUCUCCAGCCUGGACCUUGUGGACUCUAGACAGGCUGGAGGAUAUCCUUUGCAGACAAGUGGGGCUGGGCAGAGAGCCUCUCUGUGUGGGCCACAGGGUGCGGCAGUCACCUUAAGGGUUACUUGCAUGUUAUUCCCCACUUGAGUUACAUCUUGUUGAAAAGCUCCAGCCUGGUCUCAGCCGCGCCACUGAGGACAACAGGGUAUUCAAGUCUGGGCUUUUGGGGUAAGUAAGAACAGCAGUGCAUGCUGGUCAGCAGGGUGCGCUGCCAGUGGCGUGUGUUGGUGGGAAUGUCCCCAAGGCAAAGGGGGACCAAGAGCAGAGGUAGGAGAUACGGCCACCCAAGUGGAGAUCCUCCCUGCCAGCACUCCUUUGGUCAACAAACUGCAUUCCAGGUCUUACUGAAGGGGCUCUUGAGUGCUGAGAGCUCCACGAGAGGAAGAAGAUGCCUGGGUGCUGAGUAAGGAAACUGACAUGGAACACCUGCCUUCCACCAGGCAGGGCUGCUGGGAACACCGUGGGCAUUUUCUCACUUCAUUUUCACAAUGACCCUACGAGGUAGGUGCUGUGACUUUCUCCCGUGUUUGGGGAAACUUGGCCUUGGAGAGGUUAGCUGGUGCACCCCAGGGGCCAGGCCGUGGGUGACCAGGCUGGGAUCCAAAGCCAGGUCUGUGGGACUCACCUGCUGGUGCCAUCUCCACACACCCUGCAGUGUGCCUGGGGUGGCUUGGCCUGCUGUGGCCCUUUGUUUCUCUUUGAGAGAAGGGAGGGAAUGUUUAUUUCACUAACUGGGAUGGUGAGAUCAUUAUCACCCUCAAAAAGCAUGUAUUAAAUCCCUAAUAGUUCAUGGCACUGAGCACAGGACUGAAUUAUUUUGUACACAAAAAUAAUUAACAGAAGGACACAGAUAGGGUCUCUGCCUUCUGGGAACACAGGAUCCCCAGCACGUGAAGGUGAACUCAAGUGCCAUGCCUGUAAAGCCGAGGCCGUGGUGCCAUUCUCAGGAAGCCUGAUGACCUGUGUGACUUUGGGCAGUUCCUCACUCUCUGCAAGCUUUCUCCAGGCUUGCCACAUGGUGAGAUAAUAUACGGAAAGCACUUAGCAAGUGCUCAACAUAUACUGUACAUUCUCAAUCAUCAAUAACUAUUAUUACAGCCAUUGGGUAGAUGGCUUGUACCCAAAAUGGAUUUAGGGAUGAGGGAAAGGUUUAUGGUUAAACACUUUUUUAGGGGGUGGGGGGGUAGAGUCUCAUUCUGUUGCCCAGGCUGGAAUACAGUGGAGAGAACAUGGUUCACCUGCAGCCUCUACCUCCUGGGCUCAAGCAAUCCUCCCACCUCAGCCUCCUGAGUAGCUGGGACCACAGGUGCAUGCUACCAUCCCUGAGUAAUUUUUUAAUUUUUCUGUAGAGUCAGGGCCUCACCAUGUUGCCCAGGCUGGUCUCGAACUCCUGGGUUCAAGUGAUCCUCCUGCUUUGGCUUCCCAAAGUGUUGGGAUUACAGGUGUGAGAGACCGUGCCUGGCCAGAAAGAAGACCCUUGAUUGCACAGUGGAGGCGCCCUUUCCCUACUCCACUGCUCUGUGGCUGUGGAAAGGCUACAGGGCUCUUGUUUUCCUUACAAGAAAAUGUUCUCAUUCUUCUGAGAUAAGGAGGGCUCAGCCUUUAUGGAGCAAUCCUUCAAGUGUCUGUCUCUUAGUCACUGGUCUUUAGUUCUUUAUUCUGGAGAGAUGUGUGGCUUUCCUGAGGCAAAAGAGGUGAAGGAACUGUGCAGGCUAGAGCUAUUAGUGACCUGCAUACAGUAACAUUGUGCACAUGUACCCUAGAACUU
rnacentral:lncRNA from 10 species